UUAUUCCCUACCCCUGAAAGCUCCGCAGGCGUAUCGCUGUGCAUCCCCGGGCUGCACCGCUGCCAUGCCUCCCCUCUGAUGAACGGCCGCGGGGGCACGGCGCGGCGCUCGGCUGUUAGACGGGCAGACAGGAGAAAUAUAUUUGAUGGCUCCAGGACAGCUGCACUGCUGGAAUCAGAGCAGGACUCUGAGAAGGUACAUGCAAAGUUCAUCUUGAAUGGCAAGAGCAUCAUCUGAGCCACAAGCCUUCUUUUUCCACCCUUCCUCUGAUCACCUUCCAAAGAGACUCAUGGAGUUUAC
rnacentral:lncRNA from 1 species